rnacentral:rRNA from 1 species
GAUGAACGCUGGCGGCGUGCUUAACACAUGCAAGUCGAACGGAAAGGCCCUGCGAUUGUGCGGUGCUCGGGGGGGGAACGGGGGAGUAACACGUGAGUAACCUGCCCUUGUCUUUGGGAUAACUUCAGGUAACGGGGGCUAAUACCGGACAGGAGACGCCGUUCCAUGGAGGGGGUUGGAACGUCUCGGCGGUUGGGGAUGGACGCGCGGCUGAUCAGCUUGUUGGUGGGGGAGGGGCAGACCAAGGCUUUGACGGGUAGCCGGCCUGGGAGGGGGAACGGCCACAUGGCGACUGAGGUACGGCCCAGACUCCUACGGGAGGCAGCAGUGGGGAAUAUUGCCCAAUGGGCGGAAGCCUGAUGCAGCAACGCCGCGUGCGGGAUGACGGCCUUCGGGUUGUAAACCGCUUUCGCCUGUGACGAAGCGUGAGUGACGGUAAUGGGUAAAGAAGCACCGGCUAACUACGUG